GACAGAGGAUGCAAGCGUUAUCCGGAAUGAUUGGGCGUAAAGCGUCUGUAGGUGGCUUUUUAAGUUCGCCGUCAAAUCCCAGGGCUCAACCCUGGACAGGUGGUGGAAACUACCAAGCUAGAGUACGGUAGGGGCAGAGGGAAUUUCCGGUGGAGCGAUGAAAUGCGUAGAUAUUGGAAAGACCACCGAUGGCGAAGGCACUCUACUGGGCCACUACUGACACUGAGAGACGAAAGCUAGGGGAGCAAAUGGG
rnacentral:rRNA from 1 species